rnacentral:lncRNA from 1 species
GGAUUUUUAGCUGGCAUACCAUCAAAUUCAAAAAGGUUUUUCAGAAUACCAUUUUGUCAUGGGUCUUAGUCCAACUACCAUUUUUCAAAUUUAUUGGACGUUUUUGCCCUCUUCUACACAACUUGCAAAUAAACCAGACGUGGGACCGUAGACAGGAAAUUUAUUCUGAAAAAAUGAUAAAGUAAAAAAAAAAUCAGCUACAAUUAAUAGAAAAAGAAAAAUCGAAAAAUGGUUAUUUCGAUUUUU